GAUGAACGCUAGCUACAGGCUUAACACAUGCAAGUCGAGGGGUAACGAGAGGAGAGCUUGCUUUCCUUGUCGACGACCGGCGCACGGGUGAGUAACGCGUAUCCAACCUGCCCCCAACUAGGGAAUAACCUUGCGAAAGUAAGACUAAUACCCUAUAAUUUCCUCAGAUGUCAUCUGACGAGGAAUAAAGAUUUAUCGGUUGUGGAUGGGGAUGAGUCUGAUUAGCUUGUUGGCGGGGUAACGGCCCACCAAGGCAACGAUCAGUAGGGGUUCUGAGAGGAAGGUCCCCCACAUUGGAACUGAGACACGGUCCAAACUCCUACGGGAGGCAGCAGUGAGGAAUAUUGGUCAAUGGGCGGAAGCCUGAACCAGCCAGGUAGCGUGCAGGAUGACGGCCCUAUGGGUUGUAAACUGCUUUUAUACAGGAAUAAAGUUAGCCACGUGUGGUUAUUUGUAGGUACUGUAUAAAUAAGGACCGGCUAAUUCCGUGCCAGCAGCCGCGGUAA
rnacentral:rRNA from 1 species